AAGCGGUGGAUGAUGUGGAUUAAUUCGAUGCAACGCGAAAACCUUACCUACCCUUGACAUGUCCGGAAUCCCGAAGAGAUUUGGGAGUGCUCGCAAGAGAACCGGAACACAGGUGCUGCAUGGCUGUCGUCAGCUCGUGUCGUGAGAUGUUGGGUUAAGUCCCGCAACGAGCGCAACCCUUGUCAUUAGUUGCCAUCAUUUGGUUGGGCACUCUAAUGAGACUGCCGGUGACAAACCGGAGGAAGGUGGGGAUGACGUCAAGUCCUCAUGGCCCUUAUGGGUAGGGCUUCACACGUCAUACAAUGGUCGGUACAGAGGGUUGCCAACCCGCGAGGGGGAGCCAAUCCCACAAAGCCGGUCGUAGUCCGGAUCGCAGUCUGCAACUCGACUGCGUGAAGUCGGAAUCGCUAGUAAUCGUGGAUCAGAAUGUCACGGUGAAUACGUUCCCGGGUCUU
rnacentral:rRNA from 1 species